rnacentral:rRNA from 1 species
UCAGGAUGAACGCUAGCGGUAGGCUUACACAUGCAAGUCGAGGGGUAACGAUAGUGCUUGCACUAGGCGACGACCGGCGCACGGGUGAGUAACGCGUAUGCAACCUACCUCAAACUGGAGGAUAGCCCAUGGAAACGUGGAUUAAUACUCCAUAGCAUAUAUCUUUCGCAUGUUAGAUAUCUUAAACCUUCGGGGGAUAUGGAUGAGUAUGCGUGCCAUUAGUUAGAUGGUGAGGUAACGGCUCACCAUGACAAUGAUGGCUACGGGGUCUUAAAGGAUGGUCCCGCACACUGGUACUGAGACACGGACCAGACUCCUACGGGAGGCAGCAGUGAGGAAUAUUGGUCAAUGGAGGCAACUCUGAACCAGCCAUGCCGCGUGAAGGAAGACUGCCCUAUGGGUUGUAAACUUCUUUUUUACGGGAAUAACUGUCACUACGUGUAGAGAUUUGAAGGUACCAUAAGAAUAAGCAUCGGCUAACUCCGUGCCAGCAGCCGCGGUAAUACGGAGGAUGCAAGCGUUAUCCGGAUUCAUUGGGUUUAAAGGGUGCGUAGGCGGGCCUUUAAGUCAGUGGUGAAAUCCUGCAGCUUAACUGUAGAACUGUCAUUGAUACUGGUUUUCUUGAAUAUAGUUGAGGUAGGCGGAAUGUGUAAUGUAGCGGUGAAAUGCUUAGAUAUUACACAGAACACCGAUUGCGUAGGCAGCUUACUAAGCUAUAACUGACGCUGAUGCACGAAAGCGUGGGGAGCGAACAGGAUUAGAUACCCUGGUAGUCCACGCCGUAAACGAUGAUCACUCGUUGUUGGCGAUACACAGUCAGCGACUGAGCGAAAGCAUUAAGUGAUCCACCUGGGGAGUACGACCGCAAGGUUGAAACUCAAAGGAAUUGACGGGGGCCCGCACAAGCGGAGGAACAUGUGGUUUAAUUCGAUGAUACGCGAGGAACCUUACCUGGGCUUAAAUGUAGAGUGCAUAAACGGGAAACUAGUAUUCCUUCGGGCACUUUACAAGGUGCUGCAUGGUUGUCGUCAGCUCGUGCCGUGAGGUGUCGGGUUAAGUCCCAUAACGAGCGCAACCCCUAUUGUUAGUUGCCAGCGGAUAAUGCCGGGGACUCUAACGAAACUGCCGGUGUAAACCGUGAGGAAGGUGGGGAUGACGUCAAAUCAGCACGGCCCUUAUGUCCAGGGCUACACACGUGUUACAAUGGUCGAUACAAAGGGCAGCUACCUGGUGACAGGAUGCUAAUCUCUAAAAUCGAUCUCAGUUCGGAUCGAAGUCUGCAACUCGACUUCGUGAAGCUGGAUUCGCUAGUAAUCGCGCAUCAGCCACGGCGCGGUGAAUACGUUCCCGGGCCUUGUACACACCGCCCGUCAAGCCAUGGAAGCUGGGGGUACCUGAAGUCCGUAACCGUGAGGAGCGGCCUAGGGUAAAACU